rnacentral:tRNA from 1 species
GGUCCCGUAGCUCAGCCGGAUAGAGCACCAGAUUCCUAAUCUGGGGGUCGCGCGUUCGAAUCGCGCCGGGAUCACCA